CUGCAGCUGUGCAGGGCAGACCCAGGACUUCGGGGACAAGCCCCUCGGCAUGCAGUAGGCUCCUGCUUUCCAAAACGCACUCACUCUGCUUCUCGGAAAGGCUUCUCGGCUGGCCCACGCUCCCUGUUGGCAGGAGACGAAGGAGGAAGGGAGAAAACCCUCCCUGGUUGGGGUGGGCUGUGUACCCUGCCCCACAGGGUCACCACUGGGAAGAAGGACAGGACAAGAAGGUAGACAGAAGCCCGAAGUAGAGUCCAGAAAGCCCCAGCCAUGAUUUCUGGGAAAGGGACCACCAUCUUUCUCAGGUUGUCAAAGGAGCCAGCAACCCCCGAAAGUUGUAAGAUUCUGCCUCAGGGAAGAUGAUGCAGGCCUCAGCAGGUGCCCUCAACAGCACAGACACUCCCAGGGACACCCCGGGCACCCCAGGCACCAAAGCACUGGGGCAAAGAUGAGAGUGGCUCACUCCACAUCUCCUUUGCUGAGAGCCAAGCCCUCUCCAAAGCCAAGAGAAAACAACAAAAUCGGACGGCAGUGCACACUCAGAAGCAUGAAACCCUGGCGAGGAAGCAUCAUUACAAUUAGCCGUGACGACAGGCUGCCUAUGAUCUUAGGACGCACAGUGGUUCUGCGUCAUCACAGACAGCAAGGGGUUCAGGAGGCGGCCGGUCGGCAGCGGACAGGACAUGGUGAGAGGUGACAGCGUGCUGGCAGCCCUUGCAGCCCUCGCUCGCUCUCGGUGCCUCCUCGGCCUUGGCGCCCACUCUGGCCGUGCUUGAGGAGCCCUUCAGCCCACCGCUGCACUGUGGGAGCCCCUUUCUGGGCUGGCCAAGGCCGGAGCCGGCUCCCUCAGCUUGCUGGGAGGUGUGGAGGGAGAGGUGCGGGCUGCGCGCGGCGCUUGCGGGCCAACGCAAGUUCCUGGUGGGCGUGGACUCGGCUGGCCCAGCACUCGGAGAGGCCGGCCGGCCAGCCCGCAAGCCCGGGGCAGUGAGGGGCUUAGCACCUGGGCCAGCAUUUGCUGUGCUCGAUUUCUCGCCAGGCCUUAGCUGCUUCCCCGCAGGGCAGGGCUUGGGACCUGCAGCCCGCCAUGCCUGAGCCUCCUCCCCCUCCCCACCGUGGGCUCCUGCGAGGCCCGAGCCUCCCAGACGAGCGCUGCUCCCUGCUCCAUGGCGCCCAGUCCCAUUGACCGCCCAAGGGCUGAGGAGUGUGGGCGUACAGCGCGGGACUGGCAAGCAGCUCCACCUGAGGCCCCGUGGGGGAUCCACUGGGUGAAGCCAGCUGGGCUCCUGAGUCUGGUGGGGACUUGGAGAAUCUUUAUGUCUAGCUAAGGGGUUGUAAAUGCACCAAUCAGCACUCUGUAUCUAGCUGAAGGUUUGUAAACACACCAAUCGGCACCCUCUGCCUAGCUCAGGGUUUGUGAAUGCACCAGUCGGCACUCUGUAUCUAGUUAAUCUGGUGGGGACUUGGAGAAUCUUUAUGUCUAGCUAAGGGAUUGUGAAUGCACCAAUUGGCACUCUGUAUCUAGCUCAAGGUUUGUAAAUGCACCAAUCAGCACUCUAUAUCUAGCUCAGGGUUUGUAAAUACACCAAUGGACACUCUGUAUCUAGCUAAUCUAGUGGGGACGUGGAGAACUUUUGUGUCUAGCUCAGGGAUUGUAAACGCACCAAUCAGCACCCUGUCAAAACGGACCAAUCAGCUCUCUGUAAAAUGGACCAAUCAGCAGGAUGCGGGUGGGGCCAGAUAAAAGAAUAAAAGCGGGCUGCCGAAGCCAGCCGUGGUUGCCUUACACACUAUGCAAGCUUUGCUGUUUGCAGUAAAACUGGCUGCUGCUUGCUCUUUGGGUCCACACUGACUUUAUGAGCUGUAGCACUCACCAUGAAGGUUUGUAGCUUUACUCUUGAAGCCAGUGAGAUUAAAAACCCACCGGGAGGAACAAACAACUCCAGUACGCGCCGCCUUAGGAGCUGUAACACUCACGGCGAAGGUCUGCAGCUUCACUCCUGAGCCAGCCGCACCACGAACCUAUCAGAAGGAAGAAACUCCGAACACAUCCGAACGUCAGGAACAAACUCCGGCCACGCCGCCUUUAAGAACUGUAGAACUCGCUACAGCACUCACCGUGAAGGUCUGCGAUUUCAUUCUUGAAGUCAGUGAGACCAAGAACCCACCAAGUCCGGACACAAUGGGACCUGUAUGCAGUCUAUGGGGCAGUUCAGACCAAAGGGCUGGGCGUGGCACCACAGCUGCCCCGAGCCCUUGGCCUCUCUGAGCUUUUCUCUCUCACCUGAGAAAUGGGAUUUCAAGGAAAAUGAGUAGCGGUAACUUACCCACCUUACUCCACGGUUACUGUGAAGCGCCCAGAAGAGAAGCCAUGGAUGUGGGCGACGCAUUCGAGGUUAGCUUCAGAAGCAGCGGGCGCUGGGUAGCCACAUUGACACCCGGUACUAGCGCUUCCUCCUGGGGGUUCCUGGGUCCAAGGGGGUUGUGGCAGUCCUUGCCACAGAGAUGCAGAGUCUGCAAUGUCCAAAUGUGCUUCGUGUGCAGUGGGAGCCUGGCAAGCUGUAACCCUUGUCGUGAUUCACGCGUCCCAGGGACACUUGGGGGCCGCUGUGGGCAACCCCCCACACCCCGCUUUUG
rnacentral:lncRNA from 1 species